UACGUAUGGUGCGAGCGUUGUCCGGAAUUAUUGGGCGUAAAGAGCUUGUAGGCGGUCUGUCGCGUCUGCUGUGAAAAUCCGGGGCUCAACCCCGGACUUGCAGUGGGUACGGGCAGACUAGAGUGUGGUAGGGGAGACUGGAAUUCCUGGUGUAGCGGUGAAAUGCGCAGAUAUCAGGAGGAACACCGAUGGCGAAGGCAGGUCUCUGGGCCACUACUGACGCUGAGAAGCGAAAGCAUGGGGAGCGAACAGG
rnacentral:rRNA from 1 species